GCUGAAACCAACAUAGGGGAGAAACAAGCACAUCUGAGAACUAGAGAGAAUUAUGUUAAAAUUUAGGAGCAUCACCUUAAUGCUUUACUUUUCCAAAGCUGUCUGGAGUAAUCUUUUGGGUCUAGAUGAUCCUUUGCUCAAGGAAAACCAUCAGCAUGUUGCUUUAGUUUAGAAUAGAUGCAACAUAAACCUUCUUUGGGAGUGGAGAUGCUCGAGACAGUGUGGCUUCCUCGACCUCAACGGUUUUGUCUGAUUUUAAAGAUGAGGAAAUUGAGAAGUAUCUUAACCAUUACUGAAUAUUGCUUUGCUCAUCCUGAACAUGAAAGAGUCUCAGAGGCAUCUUGGGGACAUGAAAGCUAGAAGACGUUUUUCUGUGGAACCCCAGAAUCUCAACGCCAAAGUCCAGCACAGGAACCCCAGUGACCUGCUGACUGGGAAUCGCCUCGAACAGAACCUCAGGUCCCAGUCACAAGACCCCAGGCCAGCUUUCCCAUGCAAUAGCGACAUUGUGAGUUUCAGUGUCUGGCCUCAUAAUUUAUCCUUGG